UGGACCUUUAGCUCAGUUGGUAGAGCACCGGACUUUUAAUCCGGGAGUCACUGGUUCGAAUCCAGUAAGAUCCAU
rnacentral:tRNA from 1 species